rnacentral:rRNA from 1 species
GACGUAGGGCGCGAGCGUUGUCCGGAUUUAUUGGGCGUAAAGAGCUCGUAGGCGGCUUGUCGCGUCGGCUGUGAAAUCCCGUGGCUCAACUGCGGGUCUGCAGCCGAUACGGGCAGGCUAGAGUUCGGUAGGGGAGACUGGAAUUCCUGGUGUAGCGGUGAAAUGCGCAGAUAUCAGGAGGAACACCGGUGGCGAAGGCGGGUCUCUGGGCCGAUACUGACGCUGAGGAGCGAAAGCACAGAGAACAAACAGG